rnacentral:rRNA from 1 species
GAUGAACGCUGGCGGCGUGCCUAAUACAUGCAAGUCGAACGCACAGCGAAAGGUGCUUGCACCUUUCAAGUGAGUGGCGAACGGGUGAGUAACACGUGGACAACCUGCCUCAAGGCUGGGGAUAACAUUUGGAAACAGAUGCUAAUACCGAAUAAAAGUUAGUGUCGCAUGACACAAAGUUAAAAGGCGCUUCGGCGUCACCUAGAGAUGGAUCCGCGGUGCAUUAGUUAGUUGGUGGGGUAAAGGCCUACCAAGACAAUGAUGCAUAGCCGAGUUGAGAGACUGAUCGGCCACAUUGGGACUGAGACACGGCCCAAACUCCUACGGGAGGCUGCAGUAGGGAAUCUUCCACAAUGGGCGAAAGCCUGAUGGAGCAACGCCGCGUGUGUGAUGAAGGCUUUCGGGUCGUAAAGCACUGUUGUAUGGGAAGAACAGCUAGAAUAGGAAAUGAUUUUAGUUUGACGGUACCAUACCAGAAAGGGACGGCUAAAUACGUGCCAGCAGCCGCGGUAAUACGUAUGUCCCGAGCGUUAUCCGGAUUUGUUGGGCGUAAAGCGAGCGCAGACGGUUUAUUAAGUCUGAUGUGAAAGCCCGGAGCUCAACUCCGGAAUGGCAUUGGAAACUGGUUAACUUGAGUGCAGUAGAGGUAAGUGGAACUCCAUGUGUAGCGGUGGAAUGCGUAGAUAUAUGGAAGAACACCAGUGGCGAAGGCGGCUUACUGGACUGCAACUGACGUUGAGGCUCGAAAGUGUGGGUAGCAAACAGGAUUAGAUACCCUGGUAGUCCACACCGUAAACGAUGAACACUAGGUGUUAGGAGGUUUCCGCCUCUUAGUGCCGAAGCUAACGCAUUAAGUGUUCCGCCUGGGGAGUACGACCGCAAGGUUGAAACUCAAAGGAAUUGACGGGGACCCGCACAAGCGGUGGAGCAUGUGGUUUAAUUCGAAGCAACGCGAAGAACCUUACCAGGUCUUGACAUCCUUUGAAGCUUUUAGAGAUAGAAGUGUUCUCUUCGGAGACAAAGUGACAGGUGGUGCAUGGUCGUCGUCAGCUCGUGUCGUGAGAUGUUGGGUUAAGUUCCGCAACGAGCGCAACCCUUAUUGUUAGUUGCCAGCAUUCAGGUGGGCACUCUAGCGAGACUGCCGGUGACAAACCGGAGGAAGGCGGGGACGACGUCAGAUCAUCAUGCCCCUUAUGACCUGGGCUACACACGUGCUACAAUGGCGUAUACAACGAGUUGCCAACCCGCGAGGGUGAGCUAAUCUCUUAAAGUACGUCUCAGUUCGGAUUGUAGUCUGCAACUCGACUACAUGAAGUCGGAAUCGCUAGUAAUCGCGGAUCAGCACGCCGCGGUGAAUACGUUCCCGGGUCUUGUACACACCGCCCGUCACACCAUGGGAGUUUGUAAUGCCCAAAGCCGGUGGCCUAACCUUUUAGGAAGGAGCCGUCUAAGGCAGGACAGAUGACUGGGGUG